rnacentral:rRNA from 1 species
GACAGAGGUCCCGAGCGUUAGGCGGAAUCACUGGGCUUAAAGCGUGUGUAGGCGGAUGUCUAAGUACCUUGUGAAAUCCCACGGCUCACCCGUGGAACUGCUUGGUAUACUGGGUGUCUUGAGCCACUUAGGGGCUACCGGAACAAAUGGUGGAGCGGUGAAAUGCGUAGAUAUCAUUUGGAACGCCAAUGGUGAAAACAGGUAGCUGGGAGUGUGCUGACGCUGAGACACGAAAGCCAGGGGAGCAAACGGG